rnacentral:lncRNA from 1 species
UAGAAAGGCAAUACUCUAUGUAUGCCAUUUAUUAUUUAACACCGAUCAUUGAACUCAUUAAUCCUUCUACACAGGAAAACAUUAAUAUUCACAUUAAGUGGACUAAAUAGAUUAAGUUACAUUAUGCCAGACAGAGUCGGGAUGAAUGAGUUUAGUUUAGGCUCAGGUUUGGUCAUCAAAUGAAUCACCAAAAAAAAAAAAAAAUUUGUUUUCAGAGCUUUCUGGAUUUCAGAAUUUCAGAUAAGGGAAUGUAGGUCUCGGCUUCUGUAUUUCACAGGGAGGAGUAGUCCGAGUAGGUGCCUGGAAAUAGGGUCUUUGUAGAUGUAAUCAAGUUAUGAUGAGGUCAUUAGGGUGGGCCCUGAUCCGAUACAAAGUGUGUCCUUUUGAGAAGAGGAAAACCGGAGCGUGAAACUGAUGACCGUGAGCUCCUCUGAGGGUCGGUGAUAGGACAUCCAAUUAGAGAGCUGCAGAGGAGGAGGAGUACCAGGCCAUGGAAGGGGUUGGAGGCUAGAAGGGGCUUUCCAGGCAGAGGGAGCAGAGUUUUCAAAAGUCCUGUGGCAGGAUUGAGCGGUCAGGAAGCUAAAAGGUAUUCUAGAAAACCCUUUGCGAAUAAAGUUUAAAGCUUCCCCAAUUUAAACAGAAAUGGAGCCCUGCCUAAAUGUAAAAGGCUACUAAGUAGAACUUGCUUAUUGUGGCAGACAAGCUGUGGGGUUCUGGCCAGUUGUCUGCAUCCGUCUCUGAGAAUUCUUUUCCUUCAGCCACGGGGGAAGGAAGGCCCCUUCAGCCUAAUGGGACCUGCGUAAGCCCACCCCUCUUCUGCAGCUGUUCGGCCAGGAGCGAGCUUUGGUUGGCUUCUUGCCGCUUAAAUAUUUCUCUCUCUCUCUCUGAAUCAAGAAACAGAGAUGAGAGAGUUGGCCGUUUAGUUACUUUAAUGGCGCAACUUUAGAAUGUCUAGACUUCUGCUUCAGAGAGAUGCCUGGCUCCUACCUUCUGAUAAGGCUGGCAGGUCGGGUGCCUCUGGAAGCUGGCCCUGAGACAAGGAUUUGAAUGUAAGUAGUUCACUGGGAGGUGAUCCCAAGAGUCAUUGUCUGGGCA